ACUCUGCUUAACCAAAGGCUUUGUCUCUCACGUGGAUUUUUCACAUUCCAAGCUUUCUUCCAUGGAGGUUGAGUCAGUAGAGCUGGAUCCUAAUGGGGAUUGUAUCAAAGACACAUACAUU